AGUCGAGCGAACGGACGAGAAGCUUGCUUCUCUGAUGUUAGCGGCGGACGGGUGAGUAACACGUGGAUAACCUACCUAUAAGACUGGGAUAACUUCGGGAAACCGGAGCUAAUACCGGAUAAUAUUUUGAACCGCAUGGUUCAAAAGUGAAAGACGGUCUUGCUGUCACUUAUAGAUGGAUCCGCGCUGCAUUAGCUAGUUGGUAAGGUAACGGCUUACCAAGGCAACGAUGCAUAGCCGACCUGAGAGGGUGAUCGGCCACACUGGAACUGAGACACGGUCCAGACUCCUACGGGAGGCAGCAGUAGGGAAUCUUCCGCAAUGGGCGAAAGCCUGACGGAGCAACGCCGCGUGAGUGAUGAAGGUCUUCGGAUCGUAAAACUCUGUUAUUAGGGAAGAACAUAUGUGUAAGUAACUGUGCACAUCUUGAUGGUACCUAAUCAGAAAGCCACGGCUAACUACGUGCCAGCAGCCGCGGUAAUACGUAGGUGGCAAGCGUUAUCCGGAAUUAUUGGGCGUAAAGCGCGCGUAGGCGGUUUUUUAAGUCUGAUGUGAAGCCCACGGCUCAACCGUGGAGGGUCAUUGGAAACUGGAAAACUUGAGUGCAGAAGAGGAAAGUGGAAUUCCAUGUGUAGCGGUGAAAUGCGCAGAGAUAUGGAGGAACACCAGUGGCGAAGGCGACUUUCUGGUCUGUAACUGACGCUGAUGUGCGAAAGCGUGGGGAUCAAACAGGAUU
rnacentral:rRNA from 1 species